UGUCUUCUACGGGGGGCAGCAGUGAGGAAUAUUGGUCAAUGGGCGAGAGCCUGAACCAGCCAAGUCGCGUGAGGGAAGACGGUCCUAUGGAUUGUAAACCUCUUUUGCCGGGGAGCAAAAAGCGGUACGUGUACCGCAUCGAGAGUACCCGGAGAAAAAGCAUCGGCUAACUCCGUGCCAGCAGCCGCGGUAAUACGGAGGAUGCGAGCGUUAUCCGGAUUUACUGGGUGUAAAGGGAGCGUAGGCGGCCUGGCAAGCCUGAUGUGAAAUACCGGGGCCCAACCCCGGGGCUGCAUUGGGAACUG
rnacentral:rRNA from 1 species